rnacentral:rRNA from 1 species
AUGGCGGAGGCCGCGGCCGCGGCCGCAGGAGCGACGCCUCUCCUCCGCAACCUCCCUGACGAGAUCGUGCUCUGGGAGAUCCUCGCCCGCCUCGACCCCAGAUCCCUCGUCCGCUGCCGCGCCUGGCGCCGCGCCACCUCCACCCGCCGCUUCCUCCUGGCCCACCACGCCCGCCAGUCCGCCCUCCCCAUCGUCGCCGACAACGGGCACCGUACCUUCCUCGCCUUCGACCACCGGGCCGCCGCCGCCGACGCCCAGUUCCACACCGUCGCCCGGCUUGGCGAGUCCUUCAGUCUGGAGCUCUGCUGCGACGGUCUCCUCCUCAUCGCCAAGUCUGGCAUGCUUGGCAGUCGCGCCCGCCUCGCCGUCUGCAACCCGGUAACGCGUCAGCACGCCUCCCUCCCGCCGCUGACGGACUUCAACAUCCUGGGGAUGUACCUACACGGACCUACCGGCGAGUACCGGCUGUUACUGCAGUGGAGGAGUGCAAUGGACUGGGGGGACGACAGUGACUGUGACUCGCCUACAGGCAAAAAUGGCUGCUAUGUCUUUGCGCUGGGAUCCGACCAGCCACCGAGGUACAUCGGGUUGUCGGAGCCCAAAUUCUCGUCGGCUUACUUCCACGGACCUGCCCGGGUGUGUGAUAGCCUGCAUUGGUGCCUGUUUUAUCGCCCAGGCGAGAACCCACUGGAGGAUUGUGAGGCUGGAUGGGAACUGGUGGUAUUUGACACCAUAGCUGAGUCGUUUCGGCAGAUGCAUGCUCCAGCUGAUCCCACCAAGUCAUUCAUCUUUCAGAUGGAUGACAUGCUUGGCAUCUAUUGCUGUAACAAGGAUGCGGAAGUUGUUGAUAUAUGGGUGUUGCCAAACUACGAAAGUGAGGUUUGGGACUUAAAGUACCGGGUUGCAUUGCCAAUCACAGAAAUCAGGGGAAAGCUUGAAGGCCAUGAUGGUGAGGCCUAUUGGUAUGCGACCGUUGCUUCGGGUGGUGGUGACAUGCUCUUGCUGGUCAGUUUUGGUUUUUGGCUGUUUUACGUUGACACUAAUGGCAAACUGGUCGCUAGCUUCCAAGACAUCUUUCCCUCUAGGCAUCGGCUCAAACAAACUCUUGUUCCGCAUGAUUUCUUCAGAACAGUAAAAGGUCAGGCUGUCGACGCUUCACCUUUGAUCUGA